rnacentral:rRNA from 1 species
UACGGAGGAUGCAAGCGUUAUCCGGAAUGAUUGGGCGUAAAGCGUCCGCAGGUGGCUAUGUAAGUCUGCUGUUAAAGAGUGAGGCUCAACCUCAUAAGAGCAGUGGAAACUAUAUAGCUAGAGUGCGUUCGGGGCAGAGGGAAUUCCUGGUGUAGCGGUGAAAUGCGUAGAUAUCAGGAAGAACACCGGUGGCGAAAGCGCUCUGCUAGGCCGCAACUGACACUGAGGGACGAAAGCUAGGGGAGCGAAUGGG